rnacentral:hammerhead_ribozyme from 1 species
GUACUGCUGAAGAGUUCUAAACUAGGACGAAACAGCUAUCCAGUAC